AGCAACCCUUCUGGGUCCCCUUCCACCACGCAGAAGCUUUACUUUCGCUUUCACUUUACUUUUGCUUUCACUUUAACAAAUCUUGCAGCCGCACACUCUUUGGGUCCGCCCGUUUCUCUAAUCAAGUUGUAACACUCGCUGCUGUGGUCCACAGCUUCAUUCCUUGAAGCCCGUGAGACACGAACGCUUCCAUUGAGAAAAACCUUCCAUCAGAAGAAGACUUCUCGUCUCAGUGGGACUGCUGAGUUGAAUGGUGCUUUUUUUUCUGAAGCUUUGGUAGUGUAACUGUAAGAGUCCUGGAAUUGGAAAAGCAAAUCCAGAAGUUGAGUUCCAUGACUUUUUUGCUGUUUGCCUUUGGACUUGCAUCAUUUAUAUUUUUAAUUCAUCGAGGAUGAGAAAAUUGAUUAACACAAAAUCUUUUCAUGUCUUUUCUGAUGAGAGACUAGCUGAAUCCAAGAAGAGAAGCCCUUGAAGAGUGUAUUCUAUUCUAGACAAGCAUUCACACAUUGGCUUCUUUGGUGCCAGCAUGUUUCUGAUCAGCAUGAAAACUGCGCAGGAGCUUUUCUGUCUUGCAGAGCUAGUUAAUGAGAUUGUUGCUGCCUUCAGAUUCUAUAAAGGACUUCUCCAAUAUUGGGUGAGAUUAAAGUCAAAAUCAAGAGAAUUUAUAUUUCAGUUGAAUCUAUGUAAGUCUGUUAAAAAAGUAAUGGGCUCAGGGUCAAACAUCAGUAAUUGACCCUCACUCUACAGAUUAUUAAUUGUAUGACUGUAUUUCUCAGUAUCCUCAUCUAUAAAACCAGGUUAGCAAAAACUGCCUUCCUACUUCAAAAGGCACAAAUAAAAACUAAACUAAAAGCCAUACAAAACAAAGUGGAUAGCUCAUUUGCUUUACUUGGAAUGACAAUUCAACAUAGUAUUUUAAAUUCCUGUCUUUUAAAACAGUGAUUUCACACAUAUUGGCUCAUUAAAUUCUUCGUAUUAUCAAGAGUUGCUUAAUACAUUUGAGAACACAAAACAAUGGCCUUUUCUGUGCCUUUUUUAGGUGGUAAUUAUUCUUUAGUAAAGUCGGGUUGUUUUAAUUGAAAAUGAAUUUAGGUUUUUAAUCAGGAUUAGCACAAGUCGAUGUGUUCUCAGUUGUUGAAAGUUAAACUAGUAUUGCUAUAUUUCAAUGAUUGCUAGAAUAAAGAAAUAAAAAAAAAAUAGACAUGUUGAGUAAAGCUUUAUGAGUUAUAUAAAUGCAUAAUUAUAUUUGCAUAGGUAAACAAUACAUUUUUUUUCUAUUUUUGCUAAGUAAUAAGUUAGUUAAUAUAUUAUGUAAGAAUGAAAAUGAUUCAAAUAUUUGCCUGUUUCU
rnacentral:lncRNA from 10 species